CGUCGACGCCAGCCGAGAGCGAGCGUGAAUGACGUCUACGUCCGUGACGCCCGGGGUCGACGAGGGCGUGGGGUUUCCGAGAGUGCGCAGUGAGUGCGGCGGCGGCGACCCUUCGGCCUUUUUAGGGAGGGGGCGACAUUGCGAUGGGGGCGGCGGCAGCGGAAGCGGAUCGCACGCUCUUUGUGGGCAACCUUGAAACGAAGGUGACCGAGGAGCUCCUUUUCGAGCUUUUCCACCAGGCUGGGCCAGUGAUAAAAGUGAAAAUUCCGAAAGAUAAGGAUGGUAAACCAAAGCAGUUUGCAUUUGUGAAUUUCAAACAUGAAGUGUCCGUUCCUUAUGCGAUGAAUCUGCUUAAUGGAAUCAAACUGUUUGGGAGGCCCAUCAAAAUUCAGUUUAGAUCAGGAAGUAGCCAUGCCUCACAGGAUGUCAGUGUGUCAUAUCCCCAGCAUCAUAUUGGAAACUCAAGCCCUACCUCUACAUCUCCUAGCAGGCAUGACAGGACUGUGGAUAACAUGAUUCCAUCAGCACAGAUAAUUCAGAGGUCUUUCUCUUCUCCAGAAAAUUUUCAGAGACAAGCAGUGAUGAACAGUAUUUUGAGACAGAUGUCGUAUGGUGGGAAAUUUGGUUCUCCACAUCUGGAUCAGUCGGGAUUUUCCCCAUCAGUUCAGUCACAUAAUCCUACUUUUAACCAGUCUUCAAGCUCCCAGUGGCGCCAGGAGACGCCAUCCUCACAACGUAAAGUCAGACAGAAUUCUCAUCCCUACAUCCUGGACAGACAUUAUAGCCGUGAACAACGCUACACUGAUCAUGGGUCUGACCAUCAUUACAGAGGAGGCAGGGACGACUACUUCCAUGAAGAUCGGAAUCCUGAUGGCUGGAGCCACGAUUAUGAAAACAGAAGAGACAGUAGUAGAGAUGGAAAAUGGCGUUCGUCUCGACACUAACAAAAAGUUCCAUGAAGGCAGAAACCAUAUCUUACCAGUGAAUUCUCAGUAUCCAGUACCUGGCAUUAAAUCACUUGGUUUCCUGGCAAUGAGCUAACAGGGCUGACCCACGGCCCAGGCACACCUGUCCCAAGGCUGUGGAGGAGAACUUGGAAGGCACACCCGUCCUCCUUGGCUGGCCCUUCUGCCUGUGAGUUCCAUCCUGCCCUGUGGGACACCCGCCAGGUGUUCGCCUAAAGGUUUCUUUUCCAAUUUUUCUAAUGGUUCCAUGCAUGUGUGAAAAACAAUGAUUUUUUCUGUUUCAAAACUCUGCCUUGACAAAAUUAUCUCUUACCUGACAAAACGUGUAAAUCAAAAAUGUCAGAAUGAGGAGUUAUUAAAAAAAAAUUAAAAUGCGUGCAUAUUAAUUUAAUACACAUAAGUAUACAUUCACUUGCCAAUUUUUUGAUGUGGAGCCAAAGCCCUUUCCUUAUAUGUAGGUAUGCUAAUUGGAGGUUAGUGGCUGUUCUUGCAUAAAUCACUACCAGAUUGCAUUGUCUAUAAUUUCCAUUUUGAGUUUCCUCAUAGUGGAAGGCGGUUGCAGAGAAACUUGUGAAGGAUUCAAGUUUUCUGUUUCUCCUCAACAGUUGUCUUGCUCACACUUAAUCUCAGCAAGUUCUUAUAAUGAUUUAUCCUUCCUGAAUCUUUACAAAGUAAUUCAACUAGUUUUCUAGAAAUUUUUAUGUUCCACAUUCAUAUUCGUAUCUUAUAUUCAUCCAUAUUCUUAUUCAUCCGUUUAUAUCAUGUUUAGGUUGAUAAUUUGCAUUAAUGAGCACUAAACUUAAGCAGGUUUGGAACAACUUAACUGGUAAGAGGCAGCACGGGUGAACUUCUAGGAGUGGCUGACCAGUCCCUAGGCUGCAGCAUGUCAAGGACGCAGACAUUUAUUACAGAAAGAAUAGGGAACACCAGUGAAUCCAACAACUCAGUUAAGUGGAAUCAAAGCAGAGAAAUGUGCUAAUUUGGUAGAUAAGUUCUGUUAAUUAUAUGUUUCAAAUCCUACAUGUUUUUCUCUUCUUGACCUCUUAGUUUUGAAAGAGAUGAUUCUAAUUUAUGAUGUUCUCUGAGUAAUGUAUCCUGAAGUGGGUAUGUAUCCUGAAGCUAUUCUAGAUACAAGAUGAAGCAUGACGUUCCUUCACCGUGUACUGUAACUGUUACCAGUGUAAAUAUCCUCAACCCGUUCUCGUGCUAUUAACUUUGGGUUCUCUUCUGGUUCAUAUUGCUAUUUCACACCUCCAUUUUUGUUAGUAUUAGCCAGCUAUGUCUUUGACUAUUACUUUUGAAUACCUCUAUGUCACUUGAUUUUAGGCAUGCCUCUUAUAGUAAGGGAUGCUUUGAUUUCUUCCUUCUCUACUUCCUUGCAUAGGUAUGUUUCCAGGAUUGAUCCCCUUUUCUUUCCCCCCACCCCCUUUCUUCUAGGGUAGCAUUUAAUAACUCUGGAUACACACUGGCAUCACCUAGGAGCCUUUCAAAAAAACAACUUAAUGCCUAAACUUUACCCCAGAGCCUCAGGGAGGAAGCAUGGUGUCAAUAUUUUUUAAAAGGGUCUGGUAGAAAGUCAGGAUUGAAAACUGUACUGUCACACUAUUUCUAUUCCUGUAGUGUAUCCCUGUACAUUCUCAUCAAUCAUAUUAAAAUUUAUAGUUUUUUUUUUUUUAUCAGACAGGCUGAAACAGUUGUAGCAGUCAAGGUAAAAUCAGAGUGAUAAAGUAUAAGGGACUUGUUGUAGAGAUUUAACCUUAAGCAACUGUGAUCGCUGGUGGAAAAAUCUGUUGCCCUGCAUCUGGUGUUGGGCCUGAAGUCACGGUAAGUCAGCCAGAUCAGCAGCUGGGAAGAAAAGCUGAACAAGAACAGGAGCAGGGACAAACCGGAGAGUGGUAGAAAACAAACACGGAGCUUGCAUCUGUCUCUCGUUACCCUGCCUUAGUUGACUUGGACGAUGCCUGCAGGUGUGGCUGGCCCUCUCGGCCGCAGAACUGCACGUGUCUUUGGCCCAGGACUCAGAGAAGUUGGAGGACAUGUGGCAGAACCUGGAGGAGCCACAGCCUGGGCGCUGCCCCACGCCAACAAGAUGGAGAGAGGCAGAGAACAAGUGGGAAAGGAGCAGAGAGAAAGGGGGACAGAGGAUCCUAAGCAGGCUCCCCACGGACCGCAGAGAGCCUGAAGUGGGGCUUAAACCCAUGAACCACGGGAUCAUGACCAGAGCGGAAGGCAGCCGCUUAACCGAAUCAGCCACCCAGGCGCCCCUAACGUGGAGACCUUGAAUUGUGAUUAUUUGAAUGAAAUUUUCGUGGAUGUGAUAAAGAACCUCCUUUGGGAAA